CCCUUCGUGGUGUAGUGGUCAGCACACUCGGCGGAUAUUCCAGAGGUCCGUGGUUCGAGUCCCGGCGAAGAAU
rnacentral:tRNA from 1 species